rnacentral:tRNA from 5 species
UCGGGAAGUAGCUCAGCUUGGUAGAGCACAUGGUUUGGGACCAUGGGGUCGCAGGUUCAAAUCCUGUCUUCCCGAU